rnacentral:rRNA from 1 species
UACGGAGGAUCCAAGCGUUAUCCGGAUUUAUUGGGUUUAAAGGGUGCGUAGGCGGCUUAUUAAGUCAGGGGUGAAAGACGGUGGCUCAACCAUCGCAGUGCCCUUGAUACUGAUGAGCUUGAAUACACUUGAGGUAGGCGGAAUGUGACAAGUAGCGGUGAAAUGCAUAGAUAUGUCACAGAACACCAAUUGCGAAGGCAGUUUACUAAGGUGCAAUUGACGCUGAGGCACGAAAGCGUGGGGAUCAAACAGG